rnacentral:rRNA from 1 species
CUACGGGAUGCUCCAGUGAGGAAUAUUGCACAAUGGGGGGAACCCUGAUGUAGCAACGCCGCGUGGAGGAUGACGCAUUUCGGUGUGUAAACUCCUUUUAUAUGUCAAGAAAAUGACGGUAGCAUAUGAAUAAGCACCGGCUAACUCCGUGCCAGCAGCCGCGGUAAUACGGAGGGUGCAAGCGUUACUCGGAAUCACUGGGCGUAAAGGACGCGUAGGCGGGUUGGAAAGUCAGGUGUGAAAUCCUACAGCUUAACUGGAGAACUGCACUUGAAACUUCUAAUCUAGAGUAUGGGAGGGGGAGAUGGAAUUAGUGGUGUAGGGGUAAAAUCCGUAGAUAUCACUAGGAAUACCUAAAGCGAAGGCGAUCUCCUGGAACAUUACUGACGCUAAGGCGUGAAAGCGUGGGGAGCAAACAGGAUUAGAUACCCGCGUAGUC